rnacentral:pre_miRNA from 1 species
ACCUCACACCAAAUUUGGUGUAGUGAAUAGUGUUACACCAAACACUAUUCAUUUACACCAAAUUUGGUG